CUCUUAUUGAUUUUUUUUUUUUUUUGCUGUAGUUGCUUCGGUCUUCCAAGUCGGCAGCGCUGUUGCCUGACGUCAUUUGUUCGUAAACAGGGAGACGUCUGUUAUCAGCUCUCUAAACUGAAGGUGCAACAAUAACCAUUUGCCAACUGCAUUCAGUGUCCAGAUAUGAAUGUGUUCGGCUAUGGCUGCUGACCUCGCCAUCUCGUGAACUAUGGGUCGACAGAGAAGUGAUAGGAAGGAACAACAAGGCCUUGUUAGAACUCGGGAUAAGGCAGACCAGUUGGAAGAGCGGCAACCUUAAGAAGAUCAGGUUUAAG